ACGGCUACCAUUAUGGUAUGGGGGCAAACAAAGCGCUUGAAAAUAGAGAAAUGUGUUUUUGAUUGUUCAAUUAAUGUUAAUAGUCAUCCGAACUUGAUUUUUUAUAUUUUGCUUCCUGAUCCAAAGAGAAGAAAAUCGUGGUUUUAUGCUUUAUAUAGAAUUGAUUCAUCUUGCAAACAAACUUUGGUCGCAAAACAUGUCUAAGUUUGCUCAAAACAUUUUGUAUUUGAAUAUUAUGUACAAAAAAGUCAUUGCAAUAAAUCUCAAGUUAUUCAAGUCAGUGAACAAAUAAGUACUGAUAAAUAAUGCAGAAUUAGCUAGGAUUGUUCUUAGGUCACAAAACAAUCUUACAAAUAGAGUUUCUGCUGCUGUCACUGGUUUUAGAGAGUACCUUCGUGAAUAAAGAUAAAAAGUCAUUUAUGUUAUUUUUUAAAAGCCAAGACAUAAUAUUGUUAAUCCUCAUACCAUUUACUAAAAAACUUUAUAAAUAUUGUUACGAUGUUAUAAUUCAAAUUGUUGUAAUUAGUAAUUUUGAUCAUUUCAUUAUUAUACUGUAAAAAAUAUUUUUUAUUUAUAACAUUUAUUUCACAUAUAUUAAAAACAUGAGGAAUAAAUAUUACACUGAGGAAAAUUUUAAGCAAAAUAUAGAAUUUUUAAAUGUUAUUAGAAUAUCAAUAUGUAAUA